rnacentral:misc_RNA from 1 species
AACCUAGCACACCUGCGGUGUGUACCUGCGGAAGGAUCAUUAAUGAAUGAAGUUCUUGAGGAUGUUGCUGGUCUUGUCUUUUGGAUGGGGCAGGUGCACUCCUCAGAUGUUCCUUCAAACCACUUUAUACAAAACCCAUGUGCACCCUCUUGUAGGUUUUGACAUUGCGUUCAAGCCUAUGUUUCUUUCAUUUGCUCGUUGGAAUGUUUCAUUAGGAAUGUUUAAUUUGAUAAUAAAUCA